UACGUAGGGGGCAAGCGUUGUCCGGAAUCAUUGGGCGUAAAGCGCAUGUAGGCGGAUUGCUAAGUCAGGGGUGAAAUCCUGGAGCUCAACUCCAGAACUGCCUUUGAUACUGGCGAUCUCGAGUCCGGGAGAGGUGAGUGGAACUGCGAGUGUAGAGGUGAAAUUCGUAGAUAUUCGCAAGAACACCAGUGGCGAAGGCGGCUCACUGGCCCGGUACUGACGCUGAGGUGCGAAAGCGUGGGGAGCAAACAGG
rnacentral:rRNA from 1 species